AUUAUUGAUAAGCUGAGUCUAGGUAAUAAUUGUUAUUGGAAAAAAAUGUUCAUUUAAAACAUUUAAAAUAUUUCUAAAUAGGAAAUUCUUGAUAGAUAUUAAUUGAGUUCUAAACAAACAACAGGAGUUCCGGAAUAGUUUGUGCUGUCAGAGUUAAUUUUUAACUAGGUAUGAAAUAAAUAACAAUUUAAGGAGUGAGUGGACAAAGAUAAUGUUAAGUGACAUUUUUUGAAAAGCGGUUUUUAUUUUAUGAACGAAAGUGGUGGGGUACAUUACAUAUUUUAGCAAAAUAUUAAAUCAACA